GAGAGGACCGGAGUGGACGCAUCACUGGUGUUCGGGUUGUCAUGCCAAUGGCACUGCCCGGUAGCUAAAUGCGGAAGAGAUAAGUGCUGAAAGCAUCUAAGCACGAAACUUGCCCCGAGAUGAGUUCUCCCUGACCCUUUAAGGGUCCUGAAGGAACGUUGAAGACGACGACGUUGAUAGGCCGGGGGUGUAAGCGCAGCGAUGCGUUGAGCUAACCGGUACUAAUGAACCGUGAGGCUUAACCUUACAACGCCGAAGGUGUUU
rnacentral:rRNA from 2 species